rnacentral:piRNA from 1 species
UCCAUACUCUGUGUUCCAGUUGGUCC